CUCUUAACUCGCAGAAAAAGGAUCAAGGCAUAACAAUAUGUCAUCUUCAGUGUCAUUGUCUACUCAUCAUGCGUUUUCUACCACCCAUUUCGCAUGCAGCAAGAGCACAUGGGUGGAACUGAUAUCACUAAUUUACAUUUUGAUGGAAUCACCAUCAGUUACUCAAUCUUCUGGUUAUAUAGUCUUUUGUUUGGUAAGACUUAAAAGAGUUCUAUUAAUACUUGGUGAAUAGAUAUGGAUAUGCUCAACACCAUCUUUCAUGAAUAUUGUUUGACUAAUCACUAUUCUAUGUAUUAUUUAGCAUGUUUAUUGAAAGCUUCGUAUUGAGCAACCCAUAUGACCCAUGUAUUUCUGACAUCAUCAAUAAAAUGAAUAUGCAGCUCCAGGGUUCAUUGUUCAAGCAUUUCCAUGCAACUCACAUGGGAAGUAUCAGUGAAAAGGACAAAGAGAGCUGAGAAAAGAAAAGGGUUUGUCACCAAAACUCAGAAGACUGAUAAGACAUUCCAAGUUUCCAACUUCCAAAUUUGCAGUUACAGUUCAUGAGUGGAGCGUUUUGGGGAAAGAGUAACAUGGCCUUCAUGUGCCAAACCAAGAGCGAGUCACAAUCACUGAGAGAAAAAACAAUACCGUCAGUCUAUUUAACCUUCUGGGGCACCGCAUUUUUUUUUGGUAAUUAUGGUGGGCCUUUCUAGUCCCUCUCCUGUUUCUUUAUUCUUCUCUCCUUCUCCCAAAUCAAUCUCAUUCACAGAACAUGGAGGGUUCUUGGGAAGACAUGACAUGCAGGUAACCGAUACCUAUGCAUGCCUUUGGGACCGGCUGUACAACAGAUUUCAAUUCCACCAACAUGGACCCUCUAAGGUAAAAGUAGAGUUAUUUUCUACGGCUAAUAGUUGCUGGCAUGACAUGCAUUGUGGAAUCGGUCGGUAACAGCUUUUCGUGUGCAUGAAAAACUAGAUUAUGUUAAGAAAGUUUUUGGCAAGGUUCAGAAAGAAAAUGCAGAGCUAAAACUGAAUGUGUUGGGAAGUUACUAUUGAGUAACACCAUCUGUAACUAAACCUUUGUUGGAGUGUGUUGAUGGUUGUAAGUUCUUGUUAGAGGGCUAAGAAAUACAAAAAGAAAAGACAGAAAUGCAGGACAGUGCUGUAUCAGGCACUAAAUCUAGCUUUGCGGACCACAGCAGAUAUUCAAUCUGCUCAAACGGUGCAGAGUUAGUGGUGUAUGUUUGAAGUAGACUUAUGUCUUAUUUGGGGCUCCUCUUUUGAUUAGUGGUACUGGUUUCAGCAGGACCACAUGGAAAGCUAUAUGUUAUUAAGAGUUUAAGACACUAAUUCAACGCAAGUAUAACCUAAACAGUCCACCAGGCUGGUUAGAUUUUAAUUCCUUUGAUGCGUCGUAACUUGGCCGAGGCUCGUAAAUGAAAAGUACAAGCUCUUUGGCCAUGUUUAGAACCAAAAGUUUGUUCCACAGGUUUUGGUUGAGAGCGUGGGAGUCAGAAAGCUCUUUAGGUACAAGUAAAACCUUAUACUGCGAAGUUUCAAUAUUACAGAGAUUUGCUUUGUCUUUUUAAUUUUUUUCAGUUUAUCUUUUUGUUCUUCAUGUUUUGCUUGAUUUCGGGUUCUUGUAAGGUAGUAUUUCACUUGGUAGAGAUAAUCUGCAGUAAUUGCCUAGUGGUAAACAAGGGCGGUAACAUAAGAAACCCAAAUGUAAGUGAAAUAUAGGAAUCCCCAAAGUGAAAUGGUGGUUGAACCGGUUGGUAUCUUCUC